GGAAGAGUGGCCGAGUGGUUGAUGGCUCCAGUCUUGAAAACUGGCGUACCCGGAAGGGUAUCGGGGGUUCGAAUCCCUCCUCUUCCG
rnacentral:tRNA from 1 species